rnacentral:rRNA from 1 species
AACGAACGCUGGCGGCAUGCCUAACACAUGCAAGUCGAACGAGACCUUCGGGUCUAGUGGCGCACGGGUGCGUAACGCGUGGGAAUCUGCCCUUGGGUUCGGGAUAACAGUUGGAAACGACUGCUAAUACCGGAUGAUGACUUCGGUCCAAAGAUUUAUCGCCCAGGGAUGAGCCCGCGUCGGAUUAGCUAGUUGGUGAGGUAAAGGCUCACCAAGGCGACGAUCCGUAGCUGGUCUGAGAGGAUGAUCAGCCACACUGGGACUGAGACACGGCCCAGACUCCUACGGGAGGCAGCAGUGGGGAAUAUUGGACAAUGGGCGAAAGCCUGAUCCAGCAAUGCCGCGUGAGUGAUGAAGGCCUUAGGGUUGUAAAGCUCUUUUACCCGGGAUGAUAAUGACAGUACCGGGAGAAUAAGCCCCGGCUAACUCCGUGCCAGCAGCCGCGGUAAU